GGUGGAGUAAAAUACAAUGGAAAAGCUUCUGUAUUCAAUGGAUUAAUUGGUAUGCUUGAGAGAGGAGAGAUUGAUGUAGCUGGGGCUGGGCUUUUUGUAACAUUUGACAGAACUCAGGUUGCAGAUUUUGGAGGCAGUAUGUUUCGUCUGGACACAUUUUGUUUCAUGACCAGACCUGGAAAUGAAAUUGAUUUCAUGGCCUUUUUUAAGCCAUUAAACCCGAUUAUUUGGUUGUGGGUGUUAUGCUCUGCAGCAGGUUUAACUUUAUUUCUCUUUUUUCUUUCCUUCAUCACACACAAUGAAACUCAG